AGCGAACACUGGCGGCAGGCUUAACACAUGCAAGUCGAACGCCCCGCAAGGGGAGUGGCAGACGGGUGAGUAACGCGUGGGAAUCUACCGUACCCUACGGAAUAGCUCCGGGAAAAUGGAAUUAAUACCGUAUACGCCCUACGGGGGAAAGAUUUAUCGGGGUAGGAUGAGCCCGGGUUGGAUUAGCUAGUUGGUGGGGUAAAGGCCUACCAAGGCGAGGAUCCAUAGCUGGUCUGAGAGGAUGAGCAGCCACAUUGGGACUGAGACACGGCCCAAACUCCUACGGGGGGCAGCGGUGGGGAAUAUUGGACAAUGGGCGCAAGCCUGAUCCAGCCAUGCCGCGUGAGUGAUGAAGGUCUUAGGAUUGUAAAGCUCUUUCACCGGUGAAGAUAAUGACGGUAGUCGGAGAAGAAGCCCCGGCUAACUUCGUGCCAGCAGCCGCCGUAA
rnacentral:rRNA from 1 species